CUGCGGUUCCUCUUGGCCAGGCGCUCAGCAAACAUCUGUGCCUUCAGGAUUUCAAACUGGGACCUUUCCUCUGCCUAGAAAGAAGGGUGAUGCCAAGUCAAACUCCUGCAGAGCCUUAGCAACUAGGAUGAGGAGAGAGUACGAGAUUUCAGAGUCCGAUCCAGGACCCACCCUGCCCACCCCAACCGCCCACAGCUGCUACAGUGGUGCCUGCUCACCUUGGGGAAGUAUUCGGGCCUUCACGGGGGCCUUGGCGGCUUUUACGAUCUCCUUCAGCAUCUUCCGCUCCUCUUCUCCCACUAGAGACACUGAGCGCCCAGCCCUGCCAGCCCGCGCCGUUCGCCCCACCCGGUGGACGUAAUGCUUGAUGGUGUUGGGCAUUGUGAAGUUAAUUACCUGGAAGGUCAAAGUCAGACCUGGGAGUUGGAGAGAGACAGAACACAAGGAGGCAAAAAGACUCCCAGCAAAAGUUCAAGGAAGACAGAGGCUACUCACCGUUUUAACGCCCUCGAUGUCAAGUCCACGGGCUGCCACAUCUGUGGCCACAAGGAUGUCGAUCUGUUCAUCCUUAAAGCGCCUAGAAAUAGCCACAAACAGACGUUCACCUGGAUAUUCAACCCCAAAAAUGCUCCACAGGAGGCUGAGCCAGCAGAGAGAACACAAAUAGUUUUGGAUUCAAGCAGGAGGAUACAGACUGUCACAGUGAUAAUCUAAAUGAGAUCCUAAACGUCAGACCAUCUGAUGCUCACAUGAGACCUUAAACACCCUGUAACACAGAACAAACACAGUUUGGUUUAUACCACCUUAAGCUCCAAGUCCUACAAAUGUGGAAGUUCGGGAACCACAGAGCUAGAUUGUAGGAAGUAGCAAAUGCAAAUGUCUCAGCAUUCAAAGCAGCCUUUCUUAAAAAAAUACCUUGCAGCUGCCUAUGAUAAAUGCAGGCAGGUGAAGAAUUCUAAAGGGUCCCUCCUGGCCUAUGAGCAUGACUUCAUUCUAUAAGAAUUAAACAAACAAACAAA